rnacentral:rRNA from 1 species
UACAGGGGGGGCAAGCGUUGUUCGGAAUUACUGGGCGUAAAGGGUCUGUAGGUGGCCGACUAAGUCAGACGUGAAAUCCCUCAGCUUAACUGGGGAACUGCGUCUGAUACUGGAUGGCUCGAGUGUGGGAGAGGAAUGCGGAAUUCCAGGUGUAGCGGUGAAAUGCGUAGAUAUCUGGAGGAACACCGGUGGCGAAGGCGGCAUUCUGGACCAUAACUGACACUGAGAGACGAAAGCCAGGGGAGCAAACGGG